rnacentral:rRNA from 1 species
AACGAACGCUGGCGGCAUGCCUAACACAUGCAAGUCGAACGAGACCUUCGGGUCUAGUGGCGCACGGGUGCGCAACGCGUGGGAAUCUGCCCUUGGGUUCGGAAUAACAGUUAGAAAUGACUGCUAAUACCGGAUAAUGUCUUCGGACCAAAGAUUUAUCGCCCAGGGAUGAGCCCGCGUAGGAUUAGCUAGUUGGUGAGGUAAAGGCUCACCAAGGCGACGAUCCUUAGCUGGUCUGAGAGGAUGAUCAGCCACACUGGGACUGAGACACGGCCCAGACUCCUACGGGAGGCAGCAGUGGGGAAUAUUGGACAAUGGGCGAAAGCCUGAUCCAGCAAUGCCGCGUGAGUGAUGAAGGCCUUAGGGUUGUAAAGCUCUUUACCCGGGAUGAUAAUGACAGUACCGGGAGAAUAAGCCCGGCUAACUCCGUGCCAGCAGCCGCGGUAU